CGGCACCUCAAGGCAGCACCUAGAAAUCCUCUCUGGUGCUUGUCUUGAAACAGGGUGUGGGUUCCUCUUUGUUGCUCCCCCUUAUGGUGUCCCUGUUGUGCCUGUGAUGUCAUGAAUGGUUACCAUGGAGAUGAUUGUCACCACCCAGGGAUUAGUGAGUUCAGGUGAGGAGAAUAUAGUAGGAUCUUGGAGAAAGCAUAACAACAGCAUUUGAGGCAUUUGACAAUCUGGUUCCAAGGUUACCCUCCCCUCAAAUUCUACAUUCCAACCCAACAGCACAACUAGUUGUUUUGGUGACUUUGGCUGAGCUACCAUCUUCUUCUUCCCUGAAUUUGUUCCAGCUGUUUUCCAUAACUGGAAUGCACAACUUCUCCACUAGCGCUUCAGAAUAAUUAUCUUUUAGGACCUACUUCUGGUGCAGCCACUUUAGGGAAGACUUCUUUGCUACUGCUCUUUUUCUCUCCGCAUCCUCCCUCUACCCCAAAGUGUUCUCUCUCUCCUUAAAUUUUCCUAGUUCAUUGUUGUCUGAAUCAUUCUUCUUUCUUUGCUUCUCUCAUCCCCCAACCCUGGUACUAUUAUUUAUUUGUAUAUUUGCUCUCUCUCACUUCUUGUAGGAAGCUGAAAGCUCCUUGAGGGCAAAAACUAUUUGUUGUUGCUUUUUUUGGUCUUUCUAUGUCUUUGCUUUAAUACGGUGCCUUGAACAUACUAAGUAGCCCCUUAAAUGUUUCCAUUGUUAUGGUUGAAUGAAUGUCACAUAUAAGGAAUACAAAAUGAUUUCCUCAAAACACCCUAGUGAGGUAAAUUGUACAAAAAUUCUUAUCCCCAUAUUAUAAAUGAAAAUACUGAGGCUCAAGGAGAUUGAAUAAUUGGCCCAUAUUCCCACAGCUCAUAACUGUUGGAGCUGCUAAGUGCUGAAGCAAAGAAUCUUCUUGGACGCCAAUUCCCUAGUAACAAGAGAGUAUAUAACACAUGCAAAUGUUUAUCAUGUUGUGAAAGGAGAUAGAUAUUACAUACACUGGGGAAAAAUUCAUGGAGGAAAUCAAGUGAAGAAUGACUCUUCUGGGAAUAUGGAGGUGGGACACAUGGCUCAGUUUGUGAUCAGGAACCAUCAGGGGUUCUCCAGAGUCACCAAGAUAAAGGAGAGGAAAUUGAGACGUGAAGAGAGUUGGCCAAGAUUAUAGUGAUAGAAAACAAGAAGACUGAAAUUAAACGUAUGAAACCUCUGACUCCAAAUCUGAUGCUCUUUUCACUAAAGCAAGCUGCAGUUCACUCAGGACCACUCUGUGCAAUUCUGGGAGGAUAUAGAGCCUAGUCGGGGGGAGGGAAAGGGAGAAAGGAGGAGGGUAGAGAGAAAGGGAGAGAAAAGGGAGGGAGAGGCAAAGAGACAAAGGAGAACACUACAGAAGGGGUGUCCUGGGCCCCAUAAUAACUCCAGGUCGUAUGCUCUUAAAGGCCAUUAUGAAACAGUGCAGAUGAGAUCUCAUUUAUGAUUUUCCCAUCAGACUAAUGCAGUGAUUGGGUGAGGUGGGGUGGUAGUGACUGGCUGGAAAUCUCCCUGAGCAGUUG
rnacentral:lncRNA from 1 species